rnacentral:lncRNA from 1 species
UUUUCAUUUGGCAGAAAUUGUCCCUUCAAGUUUCUCUCUCUCUCUCUCUCGAGUUCCUUCAUGUUUCUGCUUCUUCUUUUCUCUUUUGAAUUGAAGAACUAGUGAAGAUUAUUGUUAUAAUCUUGUUGUUAUCAGAUGAUGAUAGAACUAUGGUACAGAGUUUUAGGCCUUGAUUGUGGCUGGUAAAUCCGUAGUGUGUUCUUGGGAAGGUUUUGUCUAGUCUUGUGGGCUAGGUUUUCAAGUUAUUGAGAGAUCCUUGUGGAUCGAUGAUCAUAGAGUGGGUAUGAUGUGGUUUCUUCAACUGGUUGUACACUCUCUUGAAGGUUUCUUGCUAGCGACGGGCUUACCUCUGAGUCCCCCAGAUUAGGCCAUUUCUGGCUAAAUUGGGUGAAAAUUUCUGUGUUCGAUUUUCUGUUCUUGCUUUACUUUUUACUGUUUUACGAUUGUUUGUUGGUGUUGGUCGAUAAUCCUAAUAAAUCUGGUAUCAGAGCUCGGUUUUCGAGGCAUCUGCGUGACAUACCUUGCCCUGAGAAUAUUUCAGUGGGUUGAGAAAAAGGUUAAACGGUUGAACAUAUUUUUUUUCGGAUCAGCAGAUUUUUUUCGGAUAUUUCUUGAGAUUUUAAUUUCUGUCCAGAUCUUAAAGAUCUGCACAGACAUUUAGGAGACUAAUUUUUCUGUUUAAGUGCGAAGGUUAAGAACGAAAAUUGGUCAGCUCCUGACCAGCUCCAAUUUUGGCAGGUGAUAGGGUGAUCUCUGAAACUCUUGUGAUUGCACUGUUGUUCAACGGUGCUGUGGGUGAGAUA